rnacentral:misc_RNA from 1 species
GUUGGUGAACCAGCGGAGGGAUCAUUACAAGAAGCCGAAAGGCUACUUCAAACCAUCGCGAACUCGUCCAAGUUGCUUCGGCGGCGCGGCUCCCCCAACGGGGCGCCGCAGCCCCGCCUCCCCGGAGGUGAGGGGCGCCCGCCGGAGGUAUCAAACCCUUCUGUAUUAUAGUGGCAUCUCUGAGUAAAACAAACAAGUUAAAACUUUCAACAACGGAUCUCUUGGCUCUG